CGAGGGGCCCGUCCCCUCCACCCUCGCGCUGAGUUCUCGGCUGCCGGUCGGUCUGAGCAGGGCAGAACGGCGAGGAGGCCCCACCUGCGCUUCCGCGGGUUCUGGGUGGGGUCGCUGAGCCCCCGGGCGCCCCCGUGCGAACCCGCUCGCCACAGGUCUCAUGGCGGCGCCCUUACACCCGGCGCAGGGGUCCGUGACCUUCGAUGAUGUGGCUGUGACCUUUUCCCGGGAGGAGUGGGGGCAGCUGGGCCAAGCCCAGAGGACCCUGUACCAGGAGGUGAUGCGGGAGACGUGCUGGCUCCUGGUGUCCCUGGAUACCACAGGGGGUAAGCUGGCCCUGCCUGGUCGUGUCACGUGUCCCACAGUCCUGGAGCAGGGUCGUGGGCUACGGGCCGCUCUCGAGAUGGUGAGUCAGGCAGGCUCCACAUGGUAUUUGUCAUCGGCGCCCCCUGAACAGCAGGGUCAGGGAAAACUGCCCUUGUGUCUCGUCGUCAUCACAGGAUUCCUGAGGCCUGGGCCACGAUCCUUGCCAGGGCAGGAGUCAGAAGGCACGCAGAAAUGUCGGAGCCACCGGUGGUGCCCCAAAAAGCCAGUCCUUUUUCCUGCUUCUUCUGGGAUGCUGAUCGUCAAGAGAACGUCUCGGGUCACUGCGUAGGGUUCCGUGCUCCUUCCUUUUGGCCAGUUCCUCUCGUCGCGGUGGGCACGGCCUCCAGCUCACAGCCCUGGGCAGUGUGCAUGAGUUUGCUGGAACUUUAAUGAACCCUCCCGCCUCCGCUGAGACGUAUGUGGCUGCGUGGAAGAGAGAACCGACUGGAACUGGCUUCCCCCGAAGGAAAUUCUCCACCUCACCUAACAAAGGCCAAAGUGGGGCCGGUGGGGCUGGCGGGCUGUGCAGCGCGUGUUCGUCACCAGCCGUAGGACAGUCCUCUGGGCCAGGCGUCUGCCUGCUCCUCGGGCUGCUCCUCGGGCUGCAGGGGCUGCGGGCUGCCCCGCACGUCGGUGAAGGCUUUCCCCGCAGAGCGCCCAGCCCGCCUUUGCCCCCGUUCUGGUGAUCAGGGCUCCCACUUCCCUGAUGAUGCUGACCGGCCUCCACCGGGACUUCUCUGUCCUUAGAGAGAUUUCCCGAAUGCAGAGGCCUCACCUUCAAUCCGAGACCUUCUGUUUCUGCCCGUGGAGACUGAAAUCAGGCAUCCCCAGGUUUUCCUGAAGCACAUGGUGUUUGAAACCAGCCACCUGGAUCAAUUACCGAACUUCCGGAAGGAGGCGCUCUCCGCCCCAGGGACCCAGGGCUGCGUGUGAGCGUCGUGCGCACCCCGUGCUCUCUGGCUCCCACCGAUGACCUUCAGGGGCAGUGGUGGGUCGGCAGGCAGUGCCACCUGCUACCUCACGUGCAGUCCAGGAGUGGGGUUUGGGCGCUUGGUUUCUGGGUCACAAAUGAGCAUUUUCUUUACUUUGGGAGCAGCUCUGACACUCCAGGAAGAAUGGAAGGGUUUCGUUGUUUUCAUCAAAACACCAAUGUUGUUUCUUUCUCCAUCAAAAGGGCAUCCGUUUCCCAAACCUGAGCUGACCCACCUGCUGGAGCGUGAGCUGCAGCUGUGGCCUGUGAGGAGGGUCUUCCUCUCCCGAAGCACCUCCCCAGGUACAAGCCAGCAGCUGGUCGGGUGGGGCCGUGGCAGCCGCCAGCCUGCGAGCAGUGAGACUCUGAGCUCCUGGGGGUUCUGGCUGUUCCUCUGUCAUGUCAAGGGAUGCACAUCAGUUGAACACCAUUGUUUAGAUACCUGGGCACCUUCUAAUGUCAGUGUGUAGCUUUUGGGUUGCUCUGGAACCAUCUGGCUGGUGGGGGGACACCUGCAGUUGCACAUGACGUGAACUUGACUCCACGUGUUCCAUGACAGGAUCUAGGCAUUUGGCCACCCCUGUGGCCUCAGGCCUGGGAAUGUGGCUUAGGUCUGUGCCAAGCGAAAGAGCCAGUGGGCCUGGUCUUCAGCGCAGCUUGCUGUAUUCCGCCUGUGGUCAGAGUCAGUGACACAGUCUCUGUGUGAUGGGGUCAUUGGCAGUUGUAAUGCCGUAACGCAGCAGGCUGCUUAGGAGAGUGCCUGGCCUGUAGGAAGGGCUCACAACGUUCGCUCUUGGUGUGUGCACGUAAUUAUGUCCAUCAUGAGUGACGGUGACAUCACACGUUCCUUUCUGGACUCAGGAAAAGGGGCCUUCCUUCUCCUUGGUAUUUUCAUCUGCGCUGUCUUGUGACCCCCCCCCCCACUCUUUCCCACCUUCACCGUCCAUCCGUCCUGUUUGUCCAUAAGACACGCAGUAGCUGCCCCAUACCCUGUAUCUUCCUGCCCCUCUUUCCCUGACAAACACAUGAUGCCUGGCCUCUCCAGCCACAGGUGUACCUCUGAGUGAGCCGUCAGGGGAUUCGAAGGUGCUCCUCUCCAUGCCCUUCAGGCUUCUCAGCCAGCGCGCGAGCACCUUUGGCCAGCACCCCCACCCCAACCAUCUGUCCCAGAUGCCACCCACGUCUUCAUCCCACAGCUCACAUCGCUGUCCAGGGCACCAAGCUCCUUGACAACGUACGCUCCUCCCCCAGCCCUGUUCAGAGAACGUCCUGUCACCCCAGCCAGUGAGAAGGCAGGACACCCCACAGCUAGCAGCCCCUCAGUGUCUCCGUCUCCGUCCUGCCCACGUCCCCGUACCCCUGGUCCUGCCCAUCAGAUGCUGUGUCUCCCGAGCCUGCCUCGCCCGCCACCCUCAGGAGCUCCACCAGCACCUGGCCCGAGUUCUCCCCGUCUUUUGCCUGGAUGAUGCCGGAGACUCCCACCCUGCCUGCCCACAUCUCUGUGCCCCUGUGCAGCUCGGUACCCUGCACCAGCUCCUGCACCCACUCCGACCUGGUCUAAAUCAUCACGGCUUCCUCAGUCACUGCUGUCUUAGCACAGAAUCAGCAUCACGUUAAAAACGAACGCUGCGUGCCUCUGCCGCUUGCUCCCGAGCCUGUGCUGGCCCAUCUGUGCCUCGCAUCUGUGGCUUCCCUUUUCCUCUGUGGAACACGUCUCACCCCUGACCUCUUGGCCUGUUCCUCCACUGGCCCCACACGGCGCCUCUGCCUUCUCUGGGAACCUGCUUCUUCACUUUUCUCCGACUUGUGUAUCCACCUUCUCUCUCCACACAGGCUCAGGUCACUUAUGCUUGGGGAAAAGUAAAGUGGGUCCUGGGCCUUUAGAUCCACAGCAGCCCACCGCGAGCGUCCACUCCACUCAUGAAGCCAAGUUUCUUGAAAGAGUUGCCUCAUUAAAAAAAAAUACAUGUGCACUUUACUUACAGUGUUUUUGUUAAGAUCUCGUUAAUUUUUUUUACCCUGGAAGUGUAUAAUAACGUGCACAAACCUUACGGGUUCUGCUUAAAUUUUUGCACAUGUAUUAGUUGAAGUGCCCUCCAGCGCAGUCAGCCUUUAGGAUAUUUCCAGGGCCCUGGCAGGCUCCUGGUGCCCCUUCCUGUCAGCUGCUCCUCCUGCAGUGCUGACCACCAUGUACACUCUAUCGCUGUGUAUUGGUUUUGUUGUUGUUUUUGUUUGGGGGGCAGUGGUGCGUCAAACACCAGAAAUUUAUUUUCUCGCUUUUCUGGGGGCUAGAAGUAAGGUGUCAGCACGUCGGUUCAUGCUGAGGCCCCUUCCCCCUUGGCUUGUAGAACAGAUGGCCUGUCCGUGUCGGGGCCAUUGCUGUCACCUGCUCGCCCAGUGCAGCAGUGCAGGGCUCUCCGGGAAUUCAGAGCUAGCUGCCUGUGUGACACUGAGGAAGUGGCCCACACGAUCGUGAGGGCUGAACUGCUUGACGUCCACAGGCAGUCCUUACGCCGGAGGAGUUGCUGUUGCAGCCUGAGUCUGCGGCCAGAGCUCCUUCCUUCCAGGGAUGUGAGUCUUUUCCUUCCAGGCCCUCAGUUGCUUGGAGGAGGCCCGCUCACCUUCUGAAGGACUUUAAUUCUGUGCAGAGGACUCCCCUCAGCAGUCGUCAAGGCAUUGAAUCAUACCCGAAAUGAGGAAAGCUACAUGCACAGCUGAAGUAAAUGCAUGAUAAACUAUGAGAGACAAAUGUGGAACAGAAUUCUCAUUGUCUGGUCUUAUAAAUGGUUGUGUGAAGAUGCAGUCAUUUGAAAUUCAUACUGUGGGAUUUUCUUUUGAGACUAAUUUUUUUUUUGAGAAGGCAUCUCUCAUAUUUAUUUAUUUAUUUGAGAGGGUAUCUCAUAUUUAUUGAUCAAAUGGCUGUUAACAACAAUAAAAUUCUGUAUAGGGGAUUCAAUGCACAAUCAUUAAUCAACCCCAAGCCUAAUUCUCAACAGUCUCCAAUCUUCUGAAGCAUAACGAACAAGUUCUUACAUGGUGAACAAGUUCUUACAUAGUGAAAAAGUUCUUACAUGGUGAACAGUGCAAGGGAAGUCAUAUCACAGAAACUUUCAUUUGAUCACACAUCAUGAACUGUAAACAAUCAAGUCAGAUAUGAUUAUUCAUUUUAUUUUCAUACAUGUGAAUCUAAAAUUU